rnacentral:rRNA from 1 species
UACGUAGGGUGCAAGCGUUAAUCGGAAUUACUGGGCGUAAAGCGGGCGCAGGCGGUUUUGUAAGUCUGACGUGAAAUCCCCGGGCUCAACCUGGGAAUUGCGUUGGAGACUGCAAGGCUAGAAUCUGGCAGAGGGGGGUAGAAUUCCACGUGUAGCAGUGAAAUGCGUAGAGAUGUGGAGGAACACCGAUGGCGAAGGCAGCCCCCUGGGUCAAGAUUGACGCUCAUGCACGAAAGCGUGGGGAGCAAACAGG